AUUGAACGCUGGCGGCAGGCCUAACACAUGCAAGUCGAACGAGUGGCGGACGGGUGAGUAAUGUCUGGGAAACCGCCUGAUGGAGGGGGAUAACUACUGGAAACGGUAGCUAAUACCGCGUACUAUCAGAUGUGCCCAGAUGGCAUUCGCUAGUAGGUGGGGUAACGGCUCACCUAGGCGACCAUCCCUAGCUGGUCUGUGAGGGUGACCAGCCCCACUGGAACUGAGACACGGUCCAGACUCCUACGGGAGGCAGCAGUGGGGAAUAUUGCACAAUGGGCGCAAGCCUGAUGCAGCCAUGCCGCGUGUAUGAAGAAGGUCUUCGGGUUGUAAAGUUCUUUCAGCGGGGAGGCGUUACCCAAAGAAGAAGCACCGGCUAACUCCGUGCCAGCAGCCGCGAUAAUAC
rnacentral:rRNA from 1 species